UUGCACAAUGGGACAGUGUAGUUGUCCCACAAGCUCUAGUUCAAGAACCUAUUUCAGACCGAUAGAUGUUAGGCGGCCUAAUCUUGGUUGCUCUGAGGUCACAAAGCUGACUUGCCAAAAUACAAAGAAACACAGCCUUUUGGAAGUUGAAGAUGUGGACUAUUUCGCGUUUAAGGCAGAUAUUAGUGACACAGAUUUGAAUACCUGUAAACGCGCAUGUUUGGAGAAAUGUUCCUGUAAAGCUGCAUUCUUCCGUAGUGGGUUAAAUUCUUCGAGGACCAGGGGGGACUGCUACUUGCCAACCGAGAUCUUUUCAAUAAUGAACAAUGAGAAGGACAGGACAAGGUAUGAUUCUGUCGCAUUUAUAAAAGUACAGGUUUAAGCUGAACCAGCUUCUGAUAAAUUAUGAACAAGAAUUAACCUGCGGGAGGACAUGGAUGGAAAUUAUAAAAUUCUGCGCGAUAUCCAGAAUAAAAGCAUGCUAGACAUGAACUGUCUGAAGGUAUAGUUAAAUAAAUACAUGGUUGGAUAAACCAAAUUAGUGUUAAAGAGUUCUCUGUAUUUCCUCAUCUUCCCUUCUUUUCUGUAUUACACUCUCAUCCCUCUUUUCAUUUAUCUGUUGCUAUUUCGUUGUCCUUGUUCUAUCAUUUUCUGUAAUUUCAAUUCAGCAGACAAUCUAUUUUUUCAGUUGUUAGAGUUAAGUGUUUGUUACAUUUGUGCUUGGUAUAAUUCGUAAAUAGACACUCAAACUUGACAUCAUUUGACAAGCCACACACUCCAAUUUGAGAGUGCACAUCUAGGCACCUUAACUUGGUCAUAACGGCAACUUAACACCCAACUCGUCCUCAUUGUGUCUUAUAGACACUCAACGCUGACGUGACAUAAAUUUUGGAGGUGUCUAGAUGAUUUUUUAAGUUGGAGCGUUCAACUGAUACAACGGAGACCAAUAUUUAUUUAUGCAUUAUUAUUUAUGCAUAUGGUCUCAUAAUAUGCAUAAAUAGACACUAAAGUCGAGAGAAUUUACUUCACGACGAUCUUACAAGUUAUCUUAAGCACUCACACCCGACGCAGGAAUUGUGAACCCUAGAGAUUAUUGAACAUAAAUUUGUGCAUGAGCCUAUGCAAACAAGUUUAAAAGUGGUAGAUAGCCUUGUUCCUAAUUCAGUGACGCUUAUUGCCCUUAAUGUCCGUGUAAUUCAGACAUAAUUGGCAUAAUGUGUUCAAUUCAAUCUAGUCAUAGUUGAAUCAAGGAACCAAUCGUCAUGUUUAACGUACAUAUUUGUUAAACCCAUGUUCGUCUCUCAAGUAAAAUCAAGUUGAGCGAUCUGCUAUAAAGAUAGACAGCAAAAUGCAAAUACAGAAAAGAAGAGUUUCAUAAUUCCAAGCAGAACACAGAAUUCAUGUUCACCAGUUUUAAGCAAAUAAAGUGGUCAAUUACCAUAUACAGAGAAUUCUUUGACCUGUUAAGCCUGUCCAAGUUAAAAAAAAGACGUUAUUUAGUAGGAAAAGUUGGAGAAUUUUUUACUAUACCAGAAGCCGAAAUUCCAAUUAGGCUCAUUUUUAAAAUAAGAGAUAAGCAUCAAUACCCGAAUUAUGGCCAAAGUUGCUACGACACACUCCAACUUCACAGCGGUACUAUUACCACCCUGAACUCAAUUUUAGCUUAUUUUUAUCACUCUUUUGUGUUAACGUGACAACUUUAUUAAAUAAAAUAUGUUCCACGUUGAAUGUGCCACCUAAGCUAAAAAGGUCGAUAAAAAGUGUCACAUCAGCUAAAAGGAUUGAUAAAAAUACACUAAAAUUUAGUUAAGGGAUAAUAGGACUUUCAUAAAUUUGAAAUAUAUCGUAUUAAAUUUAAUCAUAGUUCGGAAAGAUACUAGAUGCUUUACUCUUAAAAUAAUAGCAAAAGAGAAUAUAUUCUUUUUUGAUAAGGUAGAUAUUUUAUUGAAAGGUACCAAGAUGGUACAGAGGAAGGAACGGAAACAUCAAAAAGCAAGGAAAAAAAAACCACCUCUAUACUCUUUUUUCUAGCAUAUCCACUAAAUCCAUGUAAUGGUCAAACUCUCUAUUAGGCUGCCUUUCCUCCAAAAAUACAAAUUAUGUAAGCAUCUAUCCUUGAUUAUAGUACAGAGAAUAUACUCUUUGCACAUGGCAUAUAUAGAUACAAUUGAAAAAGACAACUUCUUGAGUUAUAUCUCACCUGCAAGUUUAAUUUCAUAUAAUAUAAAAACAAAUUUCCAGCUGGCUUAGGUUUUUUUUUUAAGAGAAUGUAUGAUUUUAAACUUGACACCAAAUUAUAACUUUGAUCUUAAACUUUGAUAUUGCACAAAUAUGACCUUUAACUAUUCAAAACUGCACAAAUAUGACCUCCGAUCCUACGUGGCAAAACGCAUGUUCAACAUGCAAAACUGGACGCGUCCAGCUUAAAAUCAAAGGGCAUAAUACAUAAAUAUGACCCUAACCUUAACACCAAAUUAUAACUUUGACCCUAAACUUUGACAGUGCACAAAUGACUUUUCACUAUUAUUUUUUCAUUAUUUUCGGCUCAAAGAUUAAAAUGACAUCUAAUUUCUUGUCAUUGCGGAAAAAGAACAAUAUUGAAGAUUUAUUAAUGAGGUGAGUCAGCCUCAUCCGAAAAAAUCGCGCGGGUAUGUAUAUAUACUAUAAAGCAGAGAAUGAAUUUAAGUUAUAUAAUGUAUCUAAAUAUAAUUUAUUUAAAUAUUAAAUUAAAGAUGAAACUAUACUACUAGUAAAAAAAAUAUAACGUUAUUAAGGAUAGUAGUAGUAGUAUAUUAAAUUAACGUUAUUAAAAUGUUAUUAAAUUAACGUUAUUAAAACAUUAUUAAAUUAAUGCAGGGGCGGACCUACGUGGUUGCCAUGGGGUUCACCCGAACCCCCUCGGUAAAAAAAUUACGUUGUAUAUAUAAGGUAGAAAAUCUAUAUUUAUGUACAUAUAUUAAUGUUGAACCACAUGAAACAAGAUACUUAGAUAGCUCAGUAGUGUUAUUUGCUCUUCUUGGUCGCUUCUUUCAGCCUACUGUGCGGAUUCGAUCCCUAAAUAAAUAAAAAAAUUAUUAUUAUAAUAAUAAUAAUAAUAAUAAUAAUAAUAAUAAUAAUAAUAAUAAUAAUAAUAAUAAUAAUAAUAAUAAUAAUAAUAAUAAUAAUAAUAAUAAUAAUAAUAAUAAUAAUAAUAAUAAUAAUAAUAAUAAUAAUAAUAAUAAUAAUAAUAAUAAUAAUAAUAAUAAUAAUAAUAAUAAUAAUAACGACGCCGUUUUAACAAAAAAAAUAAAACUUUAAAAGUGCACAAAUAUGACUUUUAACUAUUCAAAACUGCACAAAUAUGACCUCUCUCCAAGUCACUCUUUUGACGACGUGACACCAUGUGAUUGGAUUAUCUUUCCACAUAGGCGCGAGUGAAACUCACGCAUCGGGGUCGCAAAAUCGGAGGUCAUAUUUGUUCAGAUUUUGAAUAGUUAAAGGUCCUAUUUGUGUACUAUCAAAAUUUAAGGUCAAAGUUAUAAUUUGGUAUCAAGUUUAGCAUUAUAUUUAUUUAUGUAUUAUCGUUUUUUUUUUAAGUUAUCCCAGUUGUAUUAAACUACGUGCUUGUCAUCCAAGUUGAAUUAAACUAGGUGCUUGUUGCUUUCUUGAUCAUACUAAAUAUAGAUUGUGCAUUUUGCACUAGAAAAUGCACUUCUUCAAAUUUCACUUUGCAUUAUCCAGUGUUCUUAAUGGCUUUAUGCAAGAUUUUUCCUUUUGCCUUCAUUCUCUUUUCUUCUUGUUAUCUGAUAUCCGGCCAACGUUUUGAUUACCCAACUGCAAAUCUUUCUACAACUUGAAUCAACAGUGUUUCUGCACCCCAUUCAAUGGAUUAUACGGAUGGCUCAAGGAUAAGGGCUAUACUACUCAGAGGAACUUUUGGUCCAAGAUAUGCAUGUGGUUUCUAUUGUAAUGGCAACUGUGAUAGUUACCUCUUUGCCAUAUUCAUUGUGCAAACUAACAGGGCUUCCCAAAUUACUUCUCCCGGCGUUGGAUUCCCACAAGUUGUUUGGUCUGCUAACCGGAACAAUCCGGUUAAGAUCGAUUCUACUUUGGAACUUACAGCACAAGGAGACUUAGUGCUCAGAGAUGCUGAUGGUACUUUGGUUUGGUCAACUAAAACUGAUGGGAAAUCUGUUGCAGGCUUAAGCUUGACCAAUGAGGGGAAUCUUGUUCUGUUUGAUUCCAAGAAGGCAACUGUUUGGCAGUCUUUUGAUCAUCCAACUGUUCCGGGGCAGAAGUUAGUAUCAGGAAUGAAACUAACAGCAAGUGUUUCCAGAACAAACUGGACGGCGGGAGGUUUGUUUGCCUUAUCUGCUAUGAUGAUGGUUUGGUUGCUUUCGUAGAGUCAAAUCCUCUCCAAAAAUACUUUGAAGCAUCUAUUGGUGGAUCCAGUCCUAGUGGAGUCUCCAAUUAUGUUAAGUAUUUGAAUGGAAGCUUAACUUUAUUCACACAUUCUGAUGAGACAACCGAGUUGAUUCUGAUUUCUAUUGCUCCAGCAUCCUCUGCUCAAUAUAUGAAACUCGAGUCCAAUGGACACUUGAAAGUGUACGAGUGGACAAGUCGGGGGUGGAGAGAAGUGGAUGAUCUCUUGACAGGCUUUCGUGGCGAGUGCAAUUACCCCACGGCCUGUGGAAGAUAUGGCAUUUGCACAAUGGGACAGUGUAGUUGUCCCACAAGCUCUAUUUCAAGUACCUAUUUCAGACCGAUAGAUGUUAGGCGGCCUAAUCUUGGUUACUCUGAGGUCACAAAGCUGACUUGAAAAAAUUUAAAGAAACACGGACUUUUGGAAGUUGAAGAUGUGGACUAUUUCGCGUUUAAGGCAGAUAUUAGUGACACAGAUGUGAAUACCUGUACACGCGCAUGUUUGGAGAAAUGUUCCUGUAAAGCUGCAUUCUUCCGUAGUGGGUUAAAUUCUUCGAGGACCAGGUGGGACUGCGACUUGCCAACCGAGAUCUUUUCAAUCAUGAAUAAUGAGAAGGACAAGACAAGGUAUGAUUCUGUCGCGUUUAUAAAAGUACUGGUUAAUGCUCAACCAGCGGCUGAUACUAUAUGAACACAAAUUAACCCGUGGCAGGACAUGGAUGGAAAUUAUAAAAUUCUGCACGCGGUAUCCAGAAUAAAAGCAUGCUAGGUAUGAUUUUGUGAAGGUUUGGUUAAAUAAAGACAUGGUUGGAUAAACCAAAUUAGUAUUAAAGAGUUCUUUGUAU
rnacentral:lncRNA from 1 species